CAUUGUCAGUCUUAUGCUGCAUCCCAGGGAAGCACCAUUUCCUGGAUUGGAUGAGUGGCAAACAAACAAAUGAGACACCCUUUUAUUUACUAAAGAAACUAAUCCAGUAAACAAAUAUCCAUUGCAAUUUUUUCACUAUCAGAUGACCCAAAUUAUGUCACGUGGCCAAACUUAGUCCAAGGGUGUCAACUGUGCAAACAGAAUACUUCAGAAAUAUGCCUGAAUACUGACCUGUAAAAGGGAGCAGCGAUCUGAGAAAUGGGAAACUGCCUUUUCUGACAUUUUACCACCAGAGCCCACUCAAACUGUCCCUGGGAUACUGAACCAGAAACAGCUUGCCACUUCAUUGGACAGAUUCAAUGUACCUGUUGAGGUAGUGACUGCUGGCUAGUGAUUGUGACUCUCAGGCUCAGCCUGUUAUACAUCAUCUAUGUGAGGCAAUGAAGUGUAGUAAAUUGAGGGAUGGAUUGGGAGGGCGGAAGUGCUCAGUUCACAUCCCUCCUCAGACACCUACUACAUAUAUGGCCAGAGUCUGAGGGAAGGAGCACUGGCUUUGCCUCCCUUUCUGAGGCUACCUCCCAACUCUGCUGUAUUUAUCUGGGAUGUACUCUUUGACGUGCCUGCUGGGCACUCCGUUAGAAAGUGAGCUCCUUGACAAAGCUGACAACAGUUUGAAUUCCUUGUCCAUGGCGGAGCUCCCCUGCUCAAUAUUUCUCUGGAAUGGAAGAAGGAAUGCUUGGAGAAUGCUACCUGAAGGCGGAGGCUGUGCAAGAGCUUUGAAAAAGAAAGAUUCUCUCUAUGAGAGGCACACUUGGUGAGAGAUGCCUUUGAGACCCAAAAUAAACAUGUGGCAUGACAAAGAAAGAUCCUGGAA
rnacentral:lncRNA from 1 species